rnacentral:ncRNA from 2 species
AUGUUUUUCGGCGAUGAAGUCCGCCUAAGCUGUCGCUUAAACCGCCCGUGGGGCUGAUGACCUCUACAACCCA